rnacentral:rRNA from 1 species
UGGGGAAUUUUGGACAAUGGGCGCAAGCCUGAUCCAGCAAUGCCGCGUGCAGGAUGAAGGCCUUCGGGUUGUAAACUGCUUUUGUACGGAACGAAAAGGCUCUGGUUAAUACCUGGGGCUCAUGACGGUACCGUAAGAAUAAGCACCGGCUAACUACGUGCCAGCAGCCGCGGUAAUACGUAGGGUGCAAGCGUUAAUCGGAAUUACUGGGCGUAAAGCGUGCGCAGGCGGUUAUGUAAGACAGAUGUGAAAUCCCCGGGCUCAACCUGGGACCUGCAUUUGUGACUGCAUAGCUAGAGUACGGCAGAGGGGGAUGGAAUUCCACGUGUAGCAGUGAAAUGCGUAGAUAUGUGGAGGAACACCGAUGGCGAAGGCAGCCCCCUGGGUCAAGAUCGACUCUCAUGCACGAAAGCGUGGGGAGCAAACA